ACGCGGGGCGGGGCGGGGCGGGCGCUGUGGUCCGGUGUUGGAGAUUUUCGUAUCGCCACGUUUUGGAGAAUGCAAACGUGGCAAGGGCCACGUUGAUCUGAGUUUCAUGGACUGAACUUUUUUCCAGCAGGGCCACCGCCGCAGGUUUUUGGCGUUUGCGGAAUUCAUCCUGUUUCCGGAUCCUCCUUGAGUCCACAAACCUGAAAAGUUGGGUUGCAAAUUGGCAGAGGAAACCAGCAGCUUAGUAUUGCAGCCUGGAGCAUUGGCCUUGGAACAGGUUUGGGGAGCAGUGCUGGAGUGCAGUUUUAGAGCUGGCAGCAGCAGCAGCCCAGGAGGAGGCUAAGGACUCAAAGCUGCCAUUCAUUCAGUUUGAGAACCUAAAUGACUUCAACAUUUGGUACAGAAGAAACAAGUUGGGCAUGGUGGCACACGAUGCAAUCUCAGCAAAAGUGGAAAUCCCAGAAGAAACAAGCUUACCUCCAGCAUCAGAGGCCUUCUCAGCAGAACUGAUGUAUCUGGCAACUUUUUGUAGGACAGGCACAUUUAGUGUCAUGCACUAACCUGAACAACAAACAGGAGCAGCUUCUAUGUCUUUGGAUAAAUUUAUGUUUAUAAGUGUUGUUAUUAAAUAGUAUUGUAAUAACGGAUGGUCUUUGGUAUUGAUUCUUAGAAAUAUGUAUUUGGAGAAAAAGUUAAAUUUGACUGCUGUGAGUGUUAGCAUUCAAGUUUGUAAACUUCUGAUCAGUCUGGUCAUUUUAACUGUAGACCUCAGGGGCAAAAAUUCAGAAGCAUUUCAGGCAUCCAUCCUUGAUAAUAGUCCCUGCUGCCUUUGUCCCUUGAAGCGUGUGAUGAAUGAGUUGGCUGUACACGAUAUUUAGCCAGAACCAUUAAAGGACAUGUCCAGCCUC